AACGAACGCUGGCGGCAUGCCUAACACAUGCAAGUCGAACGAGACCUUCGGGUCUAUUGGCGCACGGGUGCGUAACGCGUGGGAACCUGCCCUUAGGUUCGGAAUAACUCCCCGAAAGGGGUGCUAAUACCGGAUAAUGUCUUCGGACCAAAGAUUUAUCGCCUUUGGAUGGGCCCGCGUUGGAUUAGCUAGUUGGUAGGGUAAAAGCCUACCAAGGCGACGAUCCAUAGCUGGUCUGAGAGGAUGAUCAGCCACACUGGGACUGAGACACGGCCCAGACUCCUACGGGAGGCAGCAGUGGGGAAUAUUGGACAAUGGGCGAAAGCCUGAUCCAGCAAUGCCGCGUGAGUGAUGAAGGCCUUAGGGUUGUAAAGCGCUUUUACCCGGGAUGAUAAUGACAGUACCGGGAGAAUAAGCUCCGGCUAACUCCGUG
rnacentral:rRNA from 1 species